UGGGGAAUAUUGCACAAUGGAGGGAACUCUGAUGCAGCGACGCCGCGUGAGUGAUGAAGGAAUUCGUUUCGUAAAACUCUGUUCUAUGGGAAGAAAAGGACUGUACCAUAGGAGAAAGCUCCGGCUAAAUACGUGCCAGCAGCCGCGGUAAUACGUAUGGAGCGAGCGUUGUCCGGAAUUAUUGGGCGUAAAGGGUGCGCAGGCGGCUUUACAAGUUGGAUGUGAAAUAUUGUGGCUCAACCACAAACGUGCAUCCAAAACUGCAAAGCUUGAGUUAAGGAGAUGUAAGUGGAAUUCCUGGUGUAGCGGUGGAAUGCGUAGAUAUCAGGAGGAAUACCGGUGGCGAAGGCGACUUACUGGACUUAAACUGACGCUCAGGCACGAAAGCGUGGGGAGCAAACAGG
rnacentral:rRNA from 1 species